UGAGGAAUAUUGGUCAAUGGGCGUAAGCCUGAACCAGCCAAGUAGCGUGAGGGAAGACUGCCCUAUGGGUUGUAAACCUCUUUUGUGCGGGGAUAAAGUGUGGGACGUGUCCCAUAUUGCAGGUACCGCACGAAUAAGGACCGGCUAAUUCCGUGCCAGCAGCCGCGGUAAUACGGAAGGUCCGGGCGUUAUCCGGAUUUAUUGGGUUUAAAGGGAGCGCAGGCCGUCCUUUAAGCGUGCUGUGAAAUGCCGCGGCUCAACCGUGGCACUGCAGCGCGAACUGGAGGACUUGAGUACGCACGAGGUAGGCGGAAUUCGUGGUGUAGCGGUGAAAUGCUUAGAUAUCACGAAGAACUCCGAUUGCGAAGGCAGCUUACCGGAGCGCAACUGACGCUGAGGCUCGAAAGCGCGGGUAUCGAACAGGAUUAGAUACCCUGGUAGUCCGCGCGGUAAACGAUGGAUGCCCGCCGUUGGGAUUUAGAUUUCAGCGGCCAAGCGAAAGCGUUAAGCAUCCCACCUGGGGAGUACGCCGGCAACGGUGAAACUCAAAGGAAUUGACGGGGGCCCGCACAAACGGAGGAACAUGUGGUUUAAUUCGAUGAUACGCGAGGAACCUUACCCGGGCUUGAAUUGCAGGAGAACGAUCCAGAGAUGGUGAGGCCCUUCGGGGCUCCUGUGAAGGUGCUGCAUGGUUGUCGUCAGCUCGUGCCGUGAGGUGUCGGCUCAAGUGCCAUAACGAGCGCAACCCCUGUCCAUAGUUGCCAUCAGGUCGUGCUGGGCACUCUGUGGAGACUGCCGCCGUAAGGUGUGAGGAAGGUGGGGAUGACGUCAAAUCAGCACGGCCCUUACGUCCGGGGCUACACACGUGUUACAAUGGGGCAUACAGCGAGUUGGAUGUGCGCAAGUACGUCCGGAUCAAUAAAGUGCCUCUCAGUUCGGACUGGGGUCUGCAACCCGACCCCACGAAGCUGGAUUCGCUAGUAAUCGCGCAUCAGCCAUGGCGCGGUGAAUACGUUCCC
rnacentral:rRNA from 1 species